rnacentral:rRNA from 1 species
CACGUAGGGCGCGAGCGUUGUCCGGAAUUAUUGGGCGUAAAGAGCUCGUAGGCGGCCUGUUGCGUCCGCUGUGAAAGCCCGGGGCUUAACCCCGAGCCUGCAGUGGAUACGGGCAGACUAGAGGUAGGUAGGGGAGAAUGGAAUUCCCGGUGUAGCGGUGAAAUGCGCAGAUAUCGGGAGGAACACCGGUGGCGAAGGCGGUUCUCUGGGACGGUACUGACGCUGAGACGCGAAAGCGUGGGGAGCAAACAGG